GGAUACCAAAUUUUUCAACCCAAAAAAUUAUGGGUAAAACGGGUAGGUGCCCAUUAAACAAUGAGCAUUUUGGAUAACCUGCAGGUACCAACGGAUACCCGUACAUAUAUUUUUUAAUUACAAAAUAUAUUUUCUUAAUUAAUAUAUAUUUUUUAUUUAUUCAUCCUAAAAAUUAUAAUCCUAAUUUCUUAUUACGUAUCUUUUAUAUUAGAAAUAUUUUUGCUUUAAGACUUUAAAUAUUUUUAUUAUAUGUUAUGAUAUUUUAAACAAUGAGUUAUAUUACGCUUUUAAAACUUAUGUAUAUGUAUUUUGCAUUUAAAAAAUAUAAUAACGAAAAAAAUAAAAUUGCGGGUAACCCGUAUACCCACCCGCCCAUUCGCAGGCGAGUAUGGGUAAAGAUGUUAGCUACUCAAAAAUUUGCAGGUAGAUUUUAUUCAUGCCCAAGUAACCCGGGGGUAUAAUAACCCGCCCGCGGAUUACCCAACCCGUCCGCGGGUUAUCCAAUCCGCCCGUUGCUAGGUCUACGUGCGCUGCAUGAGUUAAUUAGCAUACUAAAUUUAAAAAUAAAAUAUAUAUAUUAAAUUAUUUUUAAAAUAAAUAAUAUUUAAAUUUGUAUUUUAUGGUCUACUUUUAGAAUUUUUAUGAUAAUUAAACUAAAUAUUUUUUUUUUCUUAACUUUAGUUCAUAUUUAAAAAUGAUAUUAAGUUAUUAACAAUAAUAACUAAUUGAACCAUAUAUUUAAUAAAAUUUUUAAUUUUAUUAUUUAUAAAAACUUAAAUUAAAAAAA
rnacentral:lncRNA from 1 species